GUUGAGGUCUCGUCCGACACGGCAACGCCCGUUGCAUCGAACCCAAGCCCGAUGGCCACCGGUGCCUCCAACUCCAACUCCAAUCCGAUACUUAUUGUCCCUCGAUGUAAAAACUUUAGCCCCCGCGUCGCUCCCUCGGAGGGCGACUCGGGUGGCACCCCGCCGCUGACCCCCCUCUCCUCCCACCUCGCCGCCGCCGGAGGGGGCCGCCGGAAGUCCGACCGGCUCCCGAGGACGGCGGUGGUGUCGGUGUUUUAAGCUGUCGGUGUUUUAGACCGGCAACCCGCCCAGGGGGUACCCUAGGUUUGCGUUAAGGGUCGUCGAGAAUCAAGGAAUCAGUGGUGAC
rnacentral:lncRNA from 1 species